rnacentral:rRNA from 1 species
GUGGGGAAUUUUGCGCAAUGGGCGAAAGCCUGACGCAGCAACGCCGCGUGAGUGAUGAAGGCUUUCGGGUCGUAAAGCUCUGUCGAGGGGAAAGAAGUGUAUUGUGGCUAAUAUCCACGAUACUUGACGGUACCCCUAAAGGAAGCACCGGCUAACUCCGUGCCAGCAGCCGCGGUAAUACGGGGGGUGCAAGCGUUGUUCGGAAUUAUUGGGCGUAAAGAGCGUGUAGGCGGUUUGUUAAGUCUGAUGUGAAAGCCCUGGGCUCAACCCAGGAAGUGCAUUGGAAACUGGCAGACUUGAAUACGGGAGAGGGCAGUGGAAUUCCUAGUGUAGGAGUGAAAUCCGUAGAUAUUAGGAGGAACACCGGUGGCGAAGGCGGCUGCCUGGACCGAUAUUGACGCUGAGACGCGAAAGCGUGGGUAGCAAACAGGAUUAGAUACCCGUGUAGUCC